GUGGGAAUAGUAUAGCGGUUAGAACACUUCUUGUGUAGAGUUGAGACGCGAGUUCUAAUCUUGCUUCCCACA
rnacentral:tRNA from 1 species